rnacentral:rRNA from 1 species
CAAUAGCGUAUAUUAACGUUGUUGCAGUUAAAAAGCUCGUAGUUGGAUUUCUGGAGGGAGCGUCGGCCCGUAUUUACGAGUGCGUGACGUCUCUGUCCAUCCUUGCGGGAAGGCACGGCAUUGAUUUGUUGUGUCGGAUCGCAUCAUUUACUGUGAAAAAAUUAGAGUGUUCAAAGCAGGCUUUCGCUUGAAUACAUUAGCAUGGAAUAAUAAGAUAGGACUUUGGUGCUAUUUUGUUGGUUGAGCCUAAAGUAAUGAUUAAUAGGGAUAGUUGGGGGCACCUGUAUUGCGUUGUCAGAGGUGAAAUUCUUGGAUUUACGCAAGACAAACAGCUGCGAAAGCGUCUGCCAAGGAUGUUUUCAUUAC